GGGAGCGUAGCUCAGAUGAUAGAGCGCUCGCUUAGCAUUCGAGAGGUAAGGGGAUUGAUACCCCUCGCCUUCA